GUCCUAGCCGUAAACGAUGGACACUAGGUGUUGGUGGUAUCAACCCCGCCAGUGCCGAAGCUAACGCAUUAAGUGUCCCGCCUGGGGAGUACGGCCGCAAGGCUAAACUCAAAGGAAUUGACGGGGCCCGCACAAGCAGCGGAGCGUGGGGUUUAAUUCGACGCGACGCGAAGAACCUUACCAGGACUUGACAUGGCCGAGACCGCGGUGGAAACACCGCUUCCCCGCAAGGGGCUCGGUCACAGGUGUUGCAUGGCUGUCGU
rnacentral:rRNA from 1 species